CCUACGGUAGGCAGCAGUGGUGAAUAUUUGGCAAUGGGCUCAAGCCUGACCCAGCAACGCAGCGUUAAGGAAGAAGGCUUUCUGGUUGUUAACUUCUUUUCUCAGGGGCGAAGAACGUGACAGUCCCUGAGGACUACGCCACGGCUAACUACGUGCCCGCAGCCGCGGGAAUACGUAAGUGGCAAGCGUUCUCCGGAUUUACUGGGUGUACAGGGCGUGUAGGCGUGAGAGCAAGUCAGAUGUGAAAACCAUGGGCUCAACCGGGGGCCUGAAUUUGAAACUGUGGUGUUUGGGGAAUGGCGAGGCAGCAGGAAUGGGUGGUGAAGCGGUGAAAGGAGUAGAUACGAGGAGGAACACGAGUGGAGAAGGCGGUCGGCGGGACGGGAACUGA
rnacentral:rRNA from 1 species